AGCUCAGCUGGGAGAGCGUCUGGUUCGCAAUCAGAAGGUCGGGAGUUCGAUCCUCCUA
rnacentral:tRNA from 1 species